rnacentral:rRNA from 1 species
AUUGAACGCUGGCGGCAGGCCUAACACAUGCAAGUCGAGCGGAUGAAGGGAGCUUGCUCCUGGAUUCAGCGGCGGACGGGUGAGUAAUGCCUAGGAAUCUGCCUGGUAGUGGGGGAUAACGUCCGGAAACGGGCGCUAAUACCGCAUACGUCCUGAGGGAGAAAGUGGGGGAUCUUCGGACCUCACGCUAUCAGAUGAGCCUAGGUCGGAUUAGUUAGUUGGUGGGGUAAAGGCCUACCAAGGCGACGAUCCGUAACUGGUCUGAGAGGAUGAUCAGUCACACUGGAACUGAGACACGGUCCAGACUCCUACGGGAGGCAGCAGUGGGGAAUAUUGGACAAUGGGCGAAAGCCUGAUCCAGCCAGGCCGCGUGUGUGAAGAAGGUCUUCGGAUUGUAAAGCACUUUAAGUUGGGAGGAAGGGCAGUAAGUUAAUACCUUGCGGUUUUGACGUUACCAACAGAAUAAGCACCGGCUAACUACGUG